rnacentral:lncRNA from 1 species
ACCAUCCUCCACCAAAGGGGUCAGCAUAACGAUGACAGUGCAGCCACUCUCCCACACCAUCUAAGGACAGAGAGAUCCAGGAUAAACUCAGCUCCUCCUGAGCAUGUUACCCUGACAGAGGGAGGGAUCGUUCUCCAUGAGGUUUAACCUGAGCCCCAGUCUGCUGACCUUGUCACCUCCACCCCCUGCCUGUAAGGAAGAUCACCAUUUCCAACAGUCUAAGGCUGUUGAGAAAGGCUGCCUACCUGUCCCUUGGAUGAGGUUCUGGGGGACGAAGCCUGGGGAUUCGUUCCAUCUCCUGGGAGAUCACAUACUGGGUGAGGUCAUCAUGCCAGGACAAGCCUGUCAGGAGGAAGAAUAGAGCAAAGUUGGCUUGAGACCAGAGGCCCAGCUCCAGAGCCAGCAGAGGCCAGCAGUAGACCCCAUUCCCUACAGUGAGUUGUGAUGGGCAGAGCGGGGGUGGGGUGAGGAAAUGCCAGGGAUUGGAGACAUGGUGGGUGAGCUGAGCUGCCUCCCCACUGCCACCCUCAGCUACAGCUUUUGGAGUCAAACUGCCUGGGCUAGAAUCCGGCUUUGGUUCCUAAAGAACUGGGGGAUUUGGAAAAGUUGUUAAGCCUCCAUUCCUUCAUCUCGGUUCUGGGGAUACAUGCCUCCUAAGACUGUUGUGAUAAUAAAAGGACAUAUCACGGAAAAGAGUCCCGUGACAUGGAGAACUCAUACCACACGCCACUGCCACUGUCAUCAUUGCAUCUC